GCUCGUAGUUGGAUUUCGGGAUGGGCCAGUCGGUCUGCCGCAAGGUAUGUUACUGGCUGGUCUGUUCUUCUUCGCAAAGACUGCGUGUGCUCUUAACUGAGUGUGCGUAGGAUUUGCGACGUUUACUUUGAAAAAAUUAGAGUGUUCAAAGCAGGCUAUCCGCUUGAAUACAUGAGCAUGGAAUAAUGGAAUAGGACUUUGGUUCUAUUUCGUUGGUUUCUGGAACUGAAGUAAUGAUUAAGAGGGACAGUUGGGGGCAUUCGUAUUUCGUUGUCAGAGGUGAAAUUCUUGGAUUUACGAAAGACGAACAACUGCGAAAGCAUUUGCCAAGAAUGUUUUCAUUAAUCAAGAACGAAAGUUAGAGGCUCGAAGACGAUCAGAUACCGUCCUAGUUCUAACCAUAAACGAUGCCGACUAGGGAUCAGCGGGCGUUAUUUUAUGACCCCGUUGGCACCUUAUGGGAAACCAAAGUUUUUGGGUUCCGGGGGAAGUAUGGUUGCAAAGCUGAAACUUAAAGGAAUUGACGGAAGGGCACCACCAGGAGUGGAGCCUGCG
rnacentral:rRNA from 1 species